ACUAUUGUAAAAAAAUGCAUUUAGGCAGCAAUACGAUUAAUAUUGUACGAGUAUAGUACACCUAUGUAUGGUAUAGAUUAAAAUUAACAUUAUACUGUGUAAUGUUUUGUUUUAUCAGCCGAAAUUAAAACCAUUGAUUCCAGAAACGGAAUGCGGAGUAUUCGGCCUACUAUGUUCGGUAAAAUGGCCCGAAAGGUCCAAAAUGUAUGUGUACGAUAAAAUAGGACGUCGGUUUAAUUAU